rnacentral:rRNA from 1 species
GACGAACGCUGGCGGCGUGCUUAACACAUGCAAGUCGAACGAGUGGCGAACGGGUGAGUAAUACGUGAGUAACCUGCCCUCUUUUUGGGAUAAGCCUUGGAAACGGGGUCUAAUACCGGAUAAAGGGGGAUGGGCUCGCGGCCUAUCAGCUUGUUGGGGGGGUGAUGGCCUAGCAAGGCGGGGCCGGGUAGCCUGCCUGAUAGGGUGGCCUGCAACUGUGGGACUGAGAUACGGCCCAGACUCCUACGGGAGGCAGAAGUGGGGGAUAUUGGACAAUGGGCGAAAGCAGGAUGCCGCGGCGGCGAGUGGGGGCUGCAGGCUUUCGGGUUGUAAACCUAGUGCGCUAUCGAACCGGUAGGUGGAGAAGAAGCGCCGGCUAACUACGUGCCAGCAGCCGCGGUAAUAC